GCACUUAACAUUUGUCACUCGCUGUCUGCAGGUCGGGUCAGGUUAGUCAUACGUAACUUUUUCUUCUUUUUCAUCACUCAAGAACUCAAUGUGAACGUAGGAGCGGCGUAUGUUUUAGACUUUUCUAUCUGCAUCUUCUGUUUCGUAAUAUAAAGUUAUUCUUAUAUUCAGUUCCUUAUCUGAAAUGAGUUGCAAGUGAUCAUGUAUAUAUAAAGGUGCGUGAAUUAUAAUUUUGUGAUAGAGGUUAUCUUCCACGUGGAAAUAUUGUUAAUUGCUGCAAUUUUUAAACGAAUGUAUUCUGCGAUUUUAAAUACAAAAUGUCUCACGAAAAACCUUGUCGUGCAUGCAUGGAUUUUAAAUCGUGGGCAAAGAGUCAAAAGAAGGCUUUCGAUUCCGAAAAGGCAACUGAGAAAAUAGAGAAGAAAGAUCCACCUGUAAAUAAAGUUAAACGUGAUGAUUGUCCAUUAGAUAAAGAUGAAUUAGGUUCAAGAACAUGGUCAUUUUUACAUACCAUGGCAGCAUAUUACCCUGAUAAUCCAACUGAUGAACAAAAGUUGGAUAUGUCAAAGUUCUUUCACACAUUUUCCAAGUUUUAUCCUUGUUAUGUAUGUGCAGAAGAUUUACAAGAGCAAUUAAAAAAAACUCCACCACAAACCAAUUCACAGUCACAAUUGAGUCAAUGGCUUUGUAUGAUACAUAACGAAGUAAAUAAAAAACUUGGAAAGCCUGAAUUUGACUGUAAAUUAGUUGACCAAAGGUGGAGAGAUGGCUGGCUUGAUGGUUCAUGCGACUGAUGAUUAUUAGUUAUGAUUGUAAUUUUGUAAUGAAACCUAUAUGUGAUAUAAAAAGCACCAUGUAAGUUUAUUGUUUUGAAGUACCCUUACUAUUAAUAUUGCAAAGUAGAUGGCGUUAAGUGUGAAAUAGUGAAUGCAGAGCUUGUUGUUCUAACAUGAGGUUCAUAACUGUGAUCUUGUCCUUCACCACCAACAGGCAUGACUUGACAUGUUCUAAUAUGAAAUGGAAAACGUUUGUUAGCCAUAGAUGGUCUGGUGAUGUAUAAAAACAUUAUAUGUCCCAUAAAAAUAGUCCAUAACAAACAUCCUUUAGCAACGCUUUCUCGUACCCACUCAUCCACUAAUAAAGUAAUGCAGAGUACCUAUAAAAUUAUAAAUAUCUUUUUUCACAUUGUAAAAAGAAUAAAUAAAUUUUUUACAAAUA